AGAGAUAAAUACAGGGUUCUUAUUGCCCCUCUAAGAUAAAUACAGGGUUCAUAUUGCCCCUGAGAUAUAAAUACAGGGUUCUUAUUGCCCCUCAGAGAUAAAUACAGGGUUCUUAUUGCCCCUCAGAGAUAAAUACAGGGUUCUUAUUGCCCCUCAGAGAUAAAUACAGGGUUCUUAUUGCACCUCAGAGCGAAAUACAGGGUUCUUUCAUUGAUUUGAAUUGAAUUGUGUGUGUGAGCAUAAGAGAGUUCACAAAUUGUUGUGUUGUGUGUUUUGUCUCUCCAGGUGUGUGUGGGAGUGAAAGAGAUGGUGCGGUUCGGAGCCGAUAGCUGACGGAGCCAAUAGCUGACGGAGCUGAUAGCUGACGGAGCUGAUAGCCGACGGAGCUGAUAACUGACAGAGCCGAUAGCUGACGGAGCUGAUAGCCGACGGAGCUGAUAACUGACAGAGCUGUAGCAGGAUGAGAUGAGAGAGGAUGGAACACAUGGACAGCCCCGCCUCCCACAGCAACGACCCCAACGGGUUUGUCAAUAAAGUCUUCAACGUGUCUCUGGAUGUGCAGAAUGAAACUGGCACCGUAUCUAUCCAGGAGACUGGGAAGGGAGAGGGUCAUGGAGAAGGUCCGGGGCCAGGCCAAGCCCAGAGAGAGUGGCAGGAGGCUGGGGAUAGACAGACAGACACCCAGGCACCCCCUCAGACACCUGGAAAGGAGCGCCCGGAGGUCAACCGUAGAACAAGAGCGACUGGGGGCAUCUGGAAGAUCUUGACCCGGCGUAGAGUGGCCUCAGAGCUGGAUAACAGAAGACCUCACUCCAUGAUCCUCCCUGGAGAGGAGGCCUUCAUCCCUAAACUGUCCUUCGCUGACAAGGUCCGCUCCAUCAAGAAGCUCCGCUCUCCGGGUGUCUUCAAGGGGAGGGUGGGGAAGAUGUCUGGGUCCAGCACUAAGUUCAGAGAUGGAGAGAUGGAGGACGACUCGUUCUGCCGGGACUUCCUCCCCUCACCCGGCCUGCACCCCUGUAGGAGCACACUCCGCCACCGUGCAAAGAGGCAUUCGUAUGCCGGACACACCGCCGAGUUCGACUGCUCAUUUGAGGACAUUGAUCUGACAGCUACCCUGGACAGACACCAUCUUCACGCACUAGUGGAGCCUCUUACACAGAACGGCUCUAAGCCCACAGAGAGAAUCUCCUACUCCAAGAGACCUCAGGUCCAGGCGCAGGCUCAGGCCAACCACUCCUCUAACUGUAACAGUACCUCAGCAGGAGUGUGUGAGGAGCAGAGUGUGAGGGGCAGCCCCAAGGUCCAGCUGGGUGGGAAGAGAUCUAAGAGAGCUGACGUGUGGAGUUACCUGAGGAGGAUCUCUGUCCUGGGGAAGGGGAACCCGGCUUACUCAGAGAGGAGUUUUGACUCAGAGCUCCACACACUGGACAAGACCAUGGACUCUGACUACGGCUCGGUGGACUUCGAGAGCGUCAGGGACUUUCAACCAGCGGCUCCAAAGCACUCUGACAGCAAAGGCGGACAUUUUGGGGGUCUGAUUAAGUUCUUCAGCAACGUUGCGGAGACGGCUAGAAAAUGGCGGACGUCUUCGCGCUCCUUCUCUCCUCCAGAGGAGGGAGGGGAGCGGUCGCUGCUGGGCUCCCCCAGAGCAGGGCAGCAUCUGGGGGACUACGUCCACAGUGUGUCCCUAACCCUCCGCAGUGAGGACCACCCAGAAUGUCCCCCAACACCCGCCUCACCCCUGACCCCUCACCCCCCUCGCUCCCCUGCCUGUGACCCUGCCUCACCCCCUCCUCUAAUAGGCAGACGGUCUCCUCAGGUGAUGCUGAAGGCAUGGAGGGUGAGUCCGGACUCACCAAGCGUUAACGGCCUGGUGUGUGUGACCUCAUUGGAGACGGACAGACAGAUGGACAGACAGACAGAGAGACAGACGGACAGACAGACGGACAGACAGACAGAGAGACAGACGCGGCACACGUCUGUAGCCACAGUAGAGAAUCACGAGCCACACUCAAGGCUGGAGAGAGAGACUCAGAAAGAGAGAGAGACAGAGGUAGACAGAGAUCCCUUAGAAUGUCUGUCUACAGUGGAAGAGAGAGAAAGCGAGGGAGGGGAGGGAGGAGAGGGACAUUCAGGAAAUUACCUGGAUUCCAAGGAUGCUCUAACUGUCUCAGAGCAGACACACCUUCCAAACGGCCAAUCAGAGUUACGGGAAGGAGAGAUCGUAGCCACUAGGGAACCAGCAGGAAACUGCCACCUAGAAGUAUUUAAGGGAGCUCUAUCAGGCAGUGUUUUGAAGAGACCCAAGUCAGUCCAGUCCUGUUCUUGUCCAGUGAAGACCCCUGACCCUCCCAAGCCCCCCCACCCUCGCCCCCGUCCCUCCUCAGCCCUGGUCGACCUCCGAGUCUGCAGUCCCUUCCCAGAGGGCUGUGUGUUUGCCGUUACCCAGCAGGCCAAGGGGGGCUCUCUGUGCCGGCACAGACGCAGGCCUGGUCCCAUGAUGCACCUCUCUCCGGGGCAGAGACGGACAGGCGGUCUGGCCAGGCCUUGCUCUGUCAUAGAGCCCUCCGUUACCAUGGAGAUACACCCUGGGCAGAGUCACAGAGUAAGACCUCACACACACACACACACACACACACACACACACACACACACACACACACACACACACUAUCCCACUGCUGAGAGAAUGAAAGUGGGAGUGUGUGUGGAGACUGACCAGUAGUCUCUGCCAACUUUCAGUUAAAUAUAGGCUGUAGUCCUAAUGAAUCAACCAUACCACGCACUGUAUUUAUACACUCCUACUCUACAAUAAUGCUGCACCCUCUGGCCCAUUUCUACAAGUCUGUAUUCAUACAUCUGCCUUUCCUUUAGCUGCUCUUCCUCUGCUCUCUCUCUCUGUCUCCCUGUCUCUGUCUGUCUCUCUCUCUCUCUCUCUNNNNNNNNNNNNNNNNNNNNNNNNNNNNNNNNGAGGGUGUGUCUGUUACUGAGGCAGAGGGUGUGUCUGUUACAGAGGGUGUCUGUUACAGAGGCAGAGGGUGUGUCUGUUACAGAGGCAGAGGGUGUGUCUGUUACAGAGGCAGAGGGUGUGUCUGUUACAGAGGCAGAGGGUGUGUCUGUUACAGAGGGUGUGUCUGUUACAGAGGGUGUGUCUGUUACAGAGGGUGUAUUGUGGGUAUUCUUUUGCCCCAUCUGUUGGCCAGAAGAGGAAGUAGAGUCAGAUGUUUCUGUGUGGAGAGUGUAGAGUCAGAUGUUUCUGUGUGGAGAGUGUUCGUUAGACAACAGUAGUCUGUCUUUCCUGCCCCUUCCUGUCNNNNNNNNNNGAGGGUGUGUCUGUUACUGAGGCAGAGGGUGUGUCUGUUACAGAGGGUGUCUGUUACAGAGGCAGAGGGUGUGUCUGUUACAGAGGCAGAGGGUGUGUCUGUUACAGAGGCAGAGGGUGUGUCUGUUACAGAGGCAGAGGGUGUGUCUGUUACAGAGGGUGUGUCUGUUACAGAGGGUGUGUCUGUUACAGAGGGUGUAUUGUGGGUAUUCUUUUGCCCCAUCUGUUGGCCAGAAGAGGAAGUAGAGUCAGAUGUUUCUGUGUGGAGAGUGUAGAGUCAGAUGUUUCUGUGUGGAGAGUGUUCGUUAGACAACAGUAGUCUGUCUUUCCUGCCCCUUCCUGUCUCCUCCACACAGAAACACACCAGGAAAUCUGGUCCUAAAAAACAUAGGAAUCUAGUUCUGAAAGUCCAGUCCUCACGGCUCCCUUAGACAUUCCAGAUAUGUAUUCUAUUCAAACCCAGUCCUCACGGCUCCCUUAGACAUUCCAGAUAUGUAUUCUAAUCAAACCCAGUCCUCACGGCUCCCUUAGACAUUCCAGAUAUGUAUUCUAUUCAAACUCAUUCCUCACGGCUCCCUUAGACAUUCCAGAUAUGUAUUCUAUUCAAACCCAGUCCUCACGGCUCCCUUAGACAUACCAGAUAUGUAAUUCUAUUCCAACCCAGUCCUCACGGCUCCCUUAGACAUUCCAGAUAUGUAUUCUAUUCCAA
rnacentral:lncRNA from 13 species